UUUGGGUCCUGUUUAAACACACAUCUGUCAAUGCACCAGCUGGUUCACACUCACCACCGCUCACCGACAGAGACCCACACUCAGGGGACACUAAAUGGCAUCCAUCAUGACAGAUCUCAGUCCUCCUGAUCAGCAAGUUGACACCACAAUUCCAUACAUCAUACGGAUUAUUUUCCUMCUGUAGCAGACMGUCUGAAAUGAAGAUCCUACAUCUGUAUCUCACRUCGUCGAUGGCYGACUCCUCAAUAAGACGGGGGGCAUCGGCAGACAGCAGCCCAUGUGUAGCCAUGAUGUAGAUCUUAUAWGCUCCUCUCUCCUUCAGAAUCUCAGCUGCCGCCACAAAGUCCUCCACGUCGUCMAUGAUGUCAUCCUGGYAAAGAACGGCAACCACYGGAUUGGAAAUGAUGUACGCCUGUAGUUCCUUCAUCCAUAAUCUAAGGCUGUCAUAUUCUGUUAUUAAAUACAAUGUGGCAAAAUGUUGCAAAUUAA